ensembl:misc_RNA Metazoa_SRP Metazoan signal recognition particle RNA
GCUGGGUGUGGUGGUGCACACCUGUAAUUCCAGCUACUUGGGAAGCUGAGGCAGGAGAAUUGCUUGAACCCAGGAGGCACAGGUUGCAGUGAGCUGAGAUCAUGCCACUCUAUUCCAGCCUGGGCAACAGAGUGAGACCCUGUCUCUC